AUGAUUUAGGUACCAAAUGGGCAUGUUUGGGUCGAAGGGGAUAAUUUGCUCAACAGUAGAGAUUCCAGGAAUUUCGGUGCAGUUCCUUACCGGUAUCUAGGCUAUAGAGUAUUUGCUGUGGUGUGGCCACCUAGCGAAUGCAGAUUGAUAAGCAACAAGAUUGAAUAACUCUGUCUUGAAAGGUGUACUUACAUAGCACUUAAAUCUUUCUUCAGUCAACCUUGUUUGGGCAUUCUUUGAUUUGUUAUUGUUCACAUCCAUCGAUGGCAUACAUUUCUAAACACCUGUAUGAGAUUAUGAAUAAGUAAGAAAAUUCUGUUCUUGUUUUAUUGCUAUGAUACAUGUGAACUCUGAUAUUCAUUCCGGUGGAACUUGCAGUUUCUGCUCUCUACAUGAAUCUUACCUUGCUUCACUUGAGAGCUAUCGAAUAAAGAAUCAAACAAGCUGUUGGAGGAGAGAAGAGAUGUGGA